GAUGAACGCUAGCUACAGGCUUAACACAUGCAAGUCGAGGGGCAGCACGGAGAUAGCUUGCUAUCUUGGGUGGCGACCGGCGCACGGGUGAGUAACGCGUAUCCAACCUGCCCAUUACUCUGGGAUAGCCUUGCGAACGUAAGAUUAAUACCAGAUGUUGUUAAAAACCCGCAUGAGUUUUUAACCAAAGAUUUAUUGGUAAUGGAUGGGGAUGCGUGACAUUAGGUAGUAGGUGAGGUAACGGCUCACCUAGCCGACGAUGUCUAGGGGUUCUGAGAGGAAGGUCCCCCACACUGGAACUGAGACACGGUCCAGACUCCUACGGGAGGCAGCAGUGAGGAAUAUUGGUCAAUGGACGAGAGUCUGAACCAGCCAAGUAGCGUGCAGGACGACGGCCCUCUGGGUUGUAAACUGCUUUUAGUUGGGAAUAAAAAGAGGGACGUGUCCCUAAUUGUAUGUACCAUCAGAAAAAGGACCGGCUAAUUCCGUGCCAGCAGCCGCCGUAAGAC
rnacentral:rRNA from 1 species